CCUACGGGGGGCAGCAGUGGGGGAUAUUGCACAAUGGGGGGAACCCUGAUGCAGCGACGCCGCGUGAGCGAUGAAGUAUUUCGGUAUGUAAAGCUCUAUCAGCAGGGAAGAAAAUGACGGUACCUGACUAAGAAGCCCCGGCUAACUACGUGCCAGCAGCCGCGGUAAUACGUAGGGGGCAAGCGUUAUCCGGAUUUACUGGGUGUAAAGGGAGCGUAGACGGCAGUGCAAGUCUGAAGUGAAAGGCAAGGGCUCAACCCUUGGACUGCUUUGGAAACUGUGCUGCUGGAGUGUCGGAGAGGCAAGUGGAAUUCCUAGUGUAGCGGUGAAAUGCGUAGAUAUUAGGAGGAACACCAGUGGCGAAGGCGGCUUGCUGGACGAUGACUGACGUUGAGGCUCGAAAGCGUGGGGAGCAAACAGGAUUAGAUACCCGUGUAGU
rnacentral:rRNA from 1 species